rnacentral:rRNA from 1 species
ACUCAAAUGAAUUGACGGGGACCCGCACAAGCAGUGGAGUAUGUGGUUUAAUUCGAUGCUAAGCGAAAAACCUUACCGAGGCUUGACAUCCUGAGAAUCCCGCCGAAAGGUGGGAGUGCCUUCGGGAACUCAGUGACAGGUGCUGCAUGGCCGUCGUCAGCUCGUGUCGUGAGAUGUUGGGUUAAGUCCCGCAACGAGCGCAACCCUUGUCGUGUGUUACACUUUCACACGAGACCGCCCGGGUAACCGGGAGGAAGGUGAGGAUGACGUCUGGUCAGCAUGGCCCUUACGCCUCGGGCUACACACGUACUACAAUGGCCGUCACAAUGGGCACGCCAAGCAGCAAUGUGGAGCAAAUCCCAUCAAAAGCGGUCCCAGUUCGGAUUGAGGGCUGAAACUCGCCCUCAUGAAGUCGGAAUUGCUAGUAAUGGCGGAUCAGCAUGCCGCCGUGAAUACGUUCCCGGGUCUUGUACACACCGCCCGU